AGCAAACAGCGGAUGUGCAGUUCCUCUCUUCGCCGAACCCGGUUUUCCCUUUCGGAGCAGCGCGACCGAUUUCCGGUUUCCCCGCCGCAACCACCGUUACCCCCCCCCCGCCCCAAUCCCCGGCGACUCCAGCGACGUCACCGGUUCAGCUCCUGACCUUUCGGCGAACCGCAGAACCACAGGCGACCCGUUCGACGUCAUCACUCCCCGCCCAGAUGUCGCUGUGACAUCACCCCGCACGUGCCUGCGCUGGCACCGCGUCGUCCUGGCGAGCGCCUCCUCGCGGCGGAAGGAGAUCCUGGGGUUCGCUGUGCGAGACAUGUCGGCGGGGUUUCACGUGAGUGACACUUGGUCCCCACGGGAUUGACAGCGACUAGCGGAGUGGCAUGUGGACGUAGCUUCAGGUGAGUGACCUGUUUUUUCCCAAGAGGCACUGACAGACAGGCCAGGGACGGAGCCUGAGCGAGGGCUGGGAGUGGCUGAGCGUGAGUGACAGGGGCCUGGGGCGGGGUCUUAACUAAGCUCCUGCAAGAGACAUAGAUUUGCAUGGGGUCUAAGUUUCAUUGCUGCUCGUUUGCAUGAAUUUGAGUGAAUUUGAAUGGCUGCUUGGUUUUGUUCUACCCAGGUUUAUAUAACCUCCCCUGACCUGUAUAAAUUAGCAUAUCGUGUACGUUGGGAAUUUGCAUACGCUCAUGUGACAUCAGUUUCGCAUGAUGAAAAUUUGCAUAAAUUUGCAUAAUGACAGCUCCCCUGAGUAAAUUUCCAUAAACAUAAACGAUGUUAUGGCUUUACUCUGCGUGUAUUUGUCAUGUAAAUUUGCAUGCAUUUGCAUAAAACUGCAUGACGUUAUGGCUUUUCCUGAGUUCAGAUGAUGUCACAGUUUCCCUCCUUGCCAUUGACACGUGUCCAGAUGAUGUCAUCACCCUGUGACACCCCCCCCCCCCGCAUUUGUAUAUAUUGUAUAUAUUCUCUUGACGUCCUGGCUGGGGGUGUGCCCAAGAGUGAUUGAGUCAUUGUGGGCAGGGCCUUGACGCGUGUCUGACCCCACCCAUUCACCCCUUCCCCCCACCCCAGGGCCUGGCCUUCAUGGUCGUCCAUCCUGCCUUCCCCGAGAUGCUGAGCAAGGCCACCUGGCCCUGCCUCCAGUACUUUGCCGCGAGGGGGGGGGGGCACAAAGGUCAGUGGGAAGGGGCCUCAGGGUAGCUACUUUCAUCUUUUUAGGAAGAUGGGCGUGGUCUGUUGGUGGCCAUACCCACUGUAAGUGGCAUCAUGAUUGCAGUUCUGAGUUUGGGAGAAGAGGGUGGGUUCUGGGGAUGAUGGAGCGGGGAAAUGAGGUCACCACACCAACCACAAGUGAUGUCACUUCCUGCUUUUUGGGAGCUUUAUGGGCAAGACAUCAGGAUGGUGGGUGGGGCCAGGCCCACUGGAAGUGAUGUCAUUUUCAGGAUUUCUGACUUGUGGGUGGGGCUUCUGUGAGGGGCUGCCAGGAAGUCUGGUAUGAUGUCACUUCCAGCUCCACCCGUCCCUCCCCCAGGAAGACCCAGAGACCUUGACCCUGUGGUGGUGUGUGGCCCUGCCCCUUCCACACCCAUUGCAGGCCUCGACCCUUUUCAUCUUAUCCCCGCCCACUUCCCAACGCCAUUGCACACUUCCAGCCAAGCCCACUGUGCCUGGCCAUGCCCUCCACUUCCUGUCCCGCCCAUCACCUCAGGCCCUGCCUGCUUACUUCCUGUCAUGCAAAUUUGUGCAAAUCUAUUCAGGUGACCUCACUGACCCCGCCCCUGACUCCACCCCUUGUGAUGACCCCACCACUGACCCACAGGCCUUGGAGGGGCUGAUCCUGGAGAAGUCAAAGGACCAGGAGGACGCCAUGGGGGGUGCUGUACAGGCUGAGCAGGAAGCAGAGCAGCACAGCGUCAUCAUGAGGGUAGCCAUCUUCACCUGGGGCAUCCACGGAGGCCCUGCCCAGGAAGUGACUUUCUCUCUACUGUAGGAGGAGCUGAUCCACGACUACUUGGACAACAGCACACCAGCGAAGGAUGGGACAAGGCCUGGGGCCUCCGCCAUCCAUGCGUGGGGAGUGAUGCUGGUAGAGGGCAAAUUGGUGACGUCAUCAAUGCAGCGGGCUUCCCACUCAACCACUUUAGCCGCAAGCUUGCAAGGGCAGCUGCCAGAGACAGGAAGUGACAUCGCUGUGGAGAGGGCAGCAGGAAGUGAGGUGGAAGAAAAGUGUUUUGAAACUGACCCUACAGAUAAAAGAGUUCAUCAUGAAUGCGAUACCCUCCUAUACAGUUGUUAGAAGCAACCCUCCAUCUCCAACUCCAAAAAUAAAUGAAAACCAAACCACACAGUUGGAAAUCAGGGGUCUGCAACAACACAAGGAAGCAAGCAACCCGUGAGAAAGCACUGGCAUGGAUGAAAACAGACUCACUGGAAAGAUGCAAAGCAAUGUCAGGUUACACAACAAAAGGCAAUUACAGUCAUAUGAGGGAGUGUUCGAAAAGUUGUAAUUUGAAAACUGUUUUUGGUUGUCCUUUAGUUGGCCUCCUCUGUAAAUUGUGACAGACAUCUCCUGACAACACUUAAAGCAUCUCAAACCAUCCUUGCCCUGAUCUAUGAGUUCUCAGAACAGAAGGACUACUGAGCCAGGCGUGGUAGCACAUGCCUGUGAUCCUACAACUCAGAAGACAGAAGAGGAAUUCUAGGUCAGCCUGGGCUAGACAGACAGCAAGACUCUUGUUUUGUUUUGAAAGGCUGGUGAGGUAGUUCAGCGGGUUAACUGCCUGGUCUAAGCCCAGUGACGUGAGUUUGUGUGCUGUGGAGCUUCUGCAAACCCUGCCCCUGCCAAAUAAAAACUCGUAAUUUAUAACUCA
ensembl:antisense Rab10os RAB10, member RAS oncogene family, opposite strand